rnacentral:rRNA from 1 species
GAUGAACGCUGGCGGCGUGCCUAAUACAUGCAAGUCGAGCGAACAGACGAGGAGCUUGCUCCUCUGACGUUAACGGCGGACGGGUGAGUAACACGUGGAUAACCUACCUAUAAGACUGGGAUAACUUCGGGAAACCGGAGCUAAUACCGGAUAAUAUAUUGAACCGCAUGGUUCAAUAGUGAAAGACGGUUUUGCUGUCACUUAUAGAUGGAUCCGCGCCGCAUUAGCUAGUUGGUGAGGUAACGGCUUACCAAGGCAACGAUGCGUAGCCGACCUGACAGGGAGAUCGGCCACACUGGAACUGAGACACGGUCCAGACUCCUACGGGAGGCAGCAGUAGGGAAUCUUACGCAAUGGGCGAGAGCCUGACGGAGCAACGCCGCGUGAGGGAUGAAGGUCUUCGGAUCGUAAAACUCUGUUAGUAGGGAAGACCAAAUGUGUAAGUAACUAUGCACGUCUUGACGGUACCUAAACAGAAAGCCACGGCUAACUACGUG